GACGAACGCUGGCGGCGUGCCUAAUACAUGCAAGUCGAGCGAGCGGAACCAACAGAUUUACUUCGGUAAUGACGUUGGGAAAGCGAGCGGCGGAUGGGUGAGUAACACGUGGGGAACCUGCCCCUAAGUCUGGGAUACCAUUUGGAAACUGGUGCUAAUACCGGAUAAUAAAGCAGAUCGCAUGAUCAGCUUUUGAAAGGCGGCGUAAGCUGUCGCUAAGGGAUGGCCCCGCGGUGCAUUAGCUAGUGUAGGUAACGGCUACCAAGCGACGAUGCAUAGCCGAGUUGAGAGACUGAUCGGCCACAUUGGGACUGAGACACGGCCCAA
rnacentral:rRNA from 1 species